GAUGAACGCUGGCGGCGUGCCUAACACAUGCAAGUCGAGCGAUCUUCUUCGGAAGAGAGCGGCGGACGGGUGAGUAACGCGUGGGUAACCUGCCCUGUACACACGGAUAACAUACCGAAAGGUAUGCUAAUACGAGAUAAUAUGCCUUUAUCGCAUGGUAGAAGUAUCAAAGCUCCGGCGGUACAGGAUGGACCCGCGUCUGAUUAGCUAGUUGGUAAGGUAAUGGCUUACCAAGGCGACGAUCAGUAGCCGACCUGAGAGGGUGAUCGGCCACAUUGGAACUGAGACACGGUCCAAACUCCUACGGGAGGCAGCAGUGGGGAAUAUUGCACAAUGGGCGAAAGACUGAUGCAGCAACGCCGCGUGAGCGAUGAAGGCCUUCGGGUCGUAAAGCUCUGUCCUCAAGGAAGACAAUGACGGUACUUGAGGAGGAAGCCCCGGCUAACUACGUGCCAGCAGCCGCCGUAA
rnacentral:rRNA from 1 species